rnacentral:rRNA from 1 species
AUACGGAGGGUGCAAGCGUUACUCGGAAUCACUGGGCGUAAAGCGCGCGCAGGCGGCCAUUUAAGUUGGAUGUGAAAGCCUACGGCUCAACCGUAGAACUGCAUCCAAAACUAUUUGGCUAGAGUGUGGGAGAGGAAGAUGGAAUUAGUUGUGUAGGGGUAAAAUCCGUAGAGAUAACUAGGAAUACCAAAAGCGAAGGCAAUCUUCUGGAACAUUACUGACGCUGAGGCGCGAAAGCGUGAGGAGCAAACAGGAUUAGAUACCCUAGUAGUCC